GACAGAGGGUGCAAACGUUGUUCGGAAUUACUGGGCGUAAAGCGAGUGUAGGCGGUUUGAUAAGUCGGAUGUGAAAGCCCCGGGCUCAACCCGGGAAGUGCACUCGAUACUGUCAAGCUAGAGUAUCGGAGAGGUUGGUGGAAUUCUCGGUGUAGAGGUGAGAUUCGUAGAUAUCGAGAGGAACACCAGUGGCGAAGGCGGCUCACUGGCCCGGUACUGACGCUGAGGUGCGAAAGCGUGGGGAGCAAACAGG
rnacentral:rRNA from 1 species